GGAAAUACAAUGAGUUUUUCUUAGGAGUUUCUCACUCUCCUCCAUGACAUGACUUGAUAAAUUUCUUGAUAAAAGACUCCUUAUGAUCCUCUCAGCUAUUUAUACUCUCAGCUAACCCUUAUUCCUCACACAUACUCGUGAGCCAUUACGCACGUGCAGAUCUUCCACGUCACCCACACCUCUAUGUGUGAUCCCAACAUACCAUGUCCACUUGUUCCCUCCCAAGCCACGUCCUUUAAUACCUCUUGCAUCUCUAAUUGGCCCAUCGUAUCAUUAGAUUCGAUGGCUCUGAUACCAAUUUGAUACCAAUUUGAUACGUUUUACUGUAUCAAACUUGUAAAAAGAUCCAAAUAAAGGAAUUCCAGAUAUUUUUAUAGAUCAAAAAGGGAAAUACAAUGAGUUUUUCUUAGGAGUUUCUCACUCUCCUCCAUGACAUGACUUGAUAAAUUUCUUGAUAAAAGACUCCUUAUGAUCCUCUCAGCUAUUUAUACUCUCAGCUAACCCUUAUUCCUCACACAUACUCGUGAGCCAUUACGCACGUGCAGAUCUUCCACGUCACCCACACCUCUAUGUGUGAUCCCAACAUACCAUGUCCACUUGUUCCCUCCCAAGCCACGUCCUUUAAUACCUCUUGCAUCUCUAAUUGGCCCAUCGUAUCAU
rnacentral:lncRNA from 1 species